GUGCAGUGAUGAAAACACCUUUUUUGCUGACCUUUUAAUCGUGAAGGUUUCUACACUUGAACUGAGCUCA
ensembl:snoRNA